UACAGAGGGGGCAAGCGUUAUUCGGAAUUAUUGGGCGUAAAGGGCGCGUAGGCGGCUUGGCAAGUGGAAGGUGAAAUCCCUCGGCUUAACCGAGGAACUGCCUUCCAGACUGUUAGGCUUGAGACCGGGAGAGGUGAGUGGAAUUCCCAGUGUAGCGGUGAAAUGCGCAGAUAUCAGGAGGAACACCGGUGGCGAAGGCGGUUCUCUGGGCAUGAUCUGACGCUGAGGAGCGAAAGUGUGGGGAGCGAACAGG
rnacentral:rRNA from 1 species